rnacentral:rRNA from 1 species
GACGAACGCUGGCGGCGUGCUUAACACAUGCAAGUCGAACGGAAAGGCCCUGCUUUUGUGGGGUGCUCGAGUGGCGAACGGGUGAGUAACACGUGAGUAACCUGCCCUUGACUUUGGGAUAACUUCAGGAAACUGGGGCUAAUACCGGAUAGGAGCUCCUGCUGCAUGGUGGGGGUUGGAAAGUUUCGGCGGUUGGGGAUGGACUCGCGGCUUAUCAGCUUGUUGGUGGGGUAGUGGCUUACCAAGGCUUUGACGGGUAGCCGGCCUGAGAGGGUGACCGGCCACAGUGGGACUGAGAUACGGCCCAGACUCCUACGGGAGGCAGCAGUGGGGAAUAUUGCACAAUGGGCGGAAGCCUGAUGCAGCAACGCCGCGUGCGGGAUGACGGCCUUCGGGUUUUAAACCGCUUUCGCCUGUGACGAAGCGUGAGUGACGGUAAUGGGUAAAGAAGCACCGGCUAACUACGUG